UUGUUGAGAGUGUGGCGAAGAAGGAGAGAAGGAAUUAUGUCUCUCAUAUAAUAUAUUAUUGCUGUGAUUGUUGAUAUAUAUAAAAGUGUCUUGUGCGCAGUGAUGGAACCAUUGUGGUAGAAGAAGUUCGUAGUAAAAAUACAUCCCUGGGAGAAAGGAAUAAUAAAAAUAGACUAAAAGAGAUUUUGGGCCCUUAAUUCUGCACCAGUGAGAACAUAGAAAGAAAUUGAAGAAGUGUCUCUUCUCUAGUGCUGAAGGAAAACUACUGGCUAAACAAACAUCGAGCUUACAAGGGCCUCCCAAGGGUUUGGGGGUCAGCUGUCCCUUUCAGCGUGUGUUUGGCGGGAACAAUGGAUAGAACAGAAGCUAGAUUUGUUCACGCCAUGUUUGCGUUGUGAUUGGUCAUCUGGACUGCCUGCAGACCCUUAUUUGAGGCGUCGGGAUGGUGUGUUGGUGGUGUGAAGCGCGAGAGUGCAGCAGCAGCAGCAGCAGCAGCGGCACAAGCACCAAGGUGUUGGCUAGAUGAGCAGCACCGCGGCCGAACCCCCUCCAGGGGAACCUCCUGGAGGGCAGGCGGGGGACCCAAACACCGGCCCCCAGACAUCGGCCAGCUCCUCUCAGCAAGGUCCUCACUCAGAACACUGUGAGGGAGAAGAUGUUGGAGGAGAUGAUACCUGUGGGAGACUGGACCUUCGACCUCCUGUUCCAGGAGAAGAAGACCUCCAAAGAUCCCACCAAGUUCAGCAAGGGGAAUGGAACAAAGAUCCCCUUGCUGCAAGCCAGCCACCUUAUUCAGAUUGGGGUAAAGGCCCACCGGGUCCCCACCUACCCCAUUCUGUUGACUGGGGUAAAGAACCCCCUGGAGACUGGCAUCCAAAACCUUUCAACCCUCAUGCAGGAACUCAUCUAUGUUCCCAUUACCAAGGUGAUGGAGGAGGUGAUUUUCCAGCUAUUUUAGGAGGAUCAGUUGAGGGGGGAUCUCCUUGCUUUGGUGGGGGCGAAGGAGGGACUACUCCUCCCGCAGUUCGAUGGUCUGAGUCAUUGUUACAGCUUUUAGAAGAUCCUCAUGGUGUCCAGUUGUUUCAAGAAUUUUUGAAGGAAGAAUGUGGGUCAUGUGAGUCAUUGCAGUUCUGGUUUGCUUGCAAUGGCCUUCGAAAAUCAGAUAAGCAAGACCCUUCGCAGCUGGUGACCAUUAUCUGGAAACGGUAUAUUAGGAAUUUCGUUGUUCGUGUAUCCGAGAAGACGUACAAAAUGGUCAACGAUCGCAUCAAUGCUAGAAGUAUUGACCGAAGCAUUUUUGAUGAUGCACAGCAAGAGGUGGAAGAGGAAAUGGCCCGUAGCACGUACCCCAGUUUCCUGAAAAGCGAGCGCUACCUCACGUACCUGGCAGCUGCCACGCAGCAAACAGGGGGUGACUCUCCCCACUCACCCUCACCUUGUAGUCCUGGAGCAGGUGUUGUGGGAGGAUCAGGAGUGCUUCCCACCUUACAUGAAGACUGUGAAUAUCAAGGCAGCAUAGGCAACACUCAGUUGCGCCUCACUCAGGUAGCUUUAGCUGCAACUGUCAAACAAAGAGCAGCUGCAGAGAGAAGAAAACCAGAGGCUUUUGCUGGGCAAUAUUUGCAUGGAGUCAGCAACUGUGGUGGUGGUAGUGGUGUGAAUCCAUAUCACGCACUGUAUUCCACUGCUCACGUGUCCAGCAGGCAGGACUCUGAACUUCAGAGUCUAAGUUCUGAUGCUCUCACUGAUGACACCCUCUCCUGCACUGACUCAUCGGUGGAUGGCAUGUCUGUUGGGCUUGGAGGGUCUAUUAACCCCAAACAUCUCAAAAGGCAGUAUUAUAAAAUGCGAGAAAAUGCUCGUCAAAAUCGAGAAUUGGCUCUCAGUGCUGCCACAGGAGGAGGUUUCUCUGGUAGUCAGAGUGGAGGAAUUCUGCAUGGGGGAGUGCCUUUUAUGCCUAGGACUCAUCGCCUUCGCCAUGAGUCAAUACCAAGCACGAAACCCAGUGAAUUUGCUGCUCUCCUCAUUGAAAAGCUUGAGAAAGUCAAGAGAGACCGUGAGUCACAGGAGAAAGUGCAGCAGUCCUUUAAAAAGAUACAAGAGGGGGACAAUGUCUCUGAUGAGUGCCGCCGAGAGCAUGCUUUCAACAGUCUCCCUCCAUCGCUACUUCUUGAUAAACUAGCGCAAAAGAUCUCCCUUGAUGAUGCUGAUCCUUGUCAAUCUAUUCUUGAUGAACAUGUGUCUCGAGUAUGGCAAGACAGUAAUAACGACACUCCGGCUCGUUCCCCUGGUUCUCCACGACCUAAGUCUCCGUCUGGUAGGAGAAGUGGUUCCUUACAGCCCUCUAGGCCCACAGUAUUAUCACAUCAUGGUAUAAAGGGUAAUGUAAUGGUGGGUGUUGGUCAUCCGUCCAUGUAUGUUUCUGGCACCAACUACCUCCCUCCAACUCAAGCCCCCCACCCUCUUCAUGUGCCUGCAAGUCAUCGGGCUCAUUGUCCCCCAGGUCAUCCAGCUCACCUGCCCCCAGGUCAUAUGCCCAAUCCAUACCAAGCCAAUCGAAGCUGGCAUCAUCCAAGACGCAGGGAGAGAGGUCAGGAUGUGUAUUCUACGUUUUCAUCUGAUUCUGGCAAUGUAGCCGAUUAUAAUGAGAGUACGGACAGAAGUAGUCAUCUCCCUCUUCCUAAAUCUCGCUCCAUGCCAGAAUAUAUGGAGAAUUAUGCAGGUACAAGUAGUGAUGGUGGAAGUUCUGGUCGGCGUCAACAGAGCAGUAGGCGAAGCAGUUCCCGAAGAGCUCCUGCUGAUCUAACCGACUCUGGAGUGUCUGUGGUAUCAGAUUCGGGUCCCUCCCUCACCCCUUCAGCAUCAUCUACAGAAAGAGUAACAACUUGGCUACUGGAGAAUGAUAAGUUCAGUGGGAGUAUAAGUUCAACAAGUGGUUACCUAGAGCAUGAGUGUGACCCCCGUUAUAGAGGGAACCGAUCCACGCACACUGCUGCGGGGGCCACUUCACCCGGAACUCUGAGACGAAGUAGCAGUGGUGGGGGUCGUCGUAGUGUAAGUGGUGGAAGUGUUGGGGGUGUUGUUGGCUUGAGUGCGAGCAGUAUGAGUGGAAGUGGAAGUUUAGGUGGCAGUGGCAGUCUUGUUAGUGGACGACCUGGGUCUGUUGAAAGAUCAGGGAAUGUUUGGAUGCCUGCAUUGAACAUUGACCAGCGUGAACUUAUUGGAAUACAUCCAGGUCUUAUGAUGCAUCCUCAUGCUACCCAUCAGUCCCAUAGCUCUCAUUCGUCUCACUCUGCCCAUGAUGAUAGUAAAAAGAGAAGUCGGGGUGGAGGAGGUGGUUGUCAUGGAUCAAGCAGAUGCGCUAGCCAUAAUUCUGGUCACAGCUCUGGUCACAACUGGAGUCACUCUGAGGGUAGCAGUGGGCGUGGAUCAUGCCAUGGAGAUGCUACUACCCCCUCUGCAACUAAUCCUUCUGGUCCAGGCUCAAAUGGAUCAACCUUAAGAAAACAAAGACCAUCUCGUCACUCACAACCAACUCCACCAGGAGCAGUUUGUGAAAGUGGUGGUAGUAGCAGUGGAGGCAGUGGUGGUAGUGUGUCAGGGAUAGGAGGAGGGGGAGCUACAUCAUCAGUUAGUGGCACUGGGUCUACUGGUGCAAGUGCCUCAGAGUGCACCACUGUUGUCUACAAUUUUCAUGACGAUUCCGUUCCCUUUGUCAUUCGUGUUCCUACUCGCCCAGUUACUCUUAAGCGCUUCAAGCAGCAUUUACCGAAGAAAGGAAAUUACAGAUUCUUCUUCAAAAAGCAUUGUGAAGAGUUUGGCGUGAUUCAAGAAGAGAUUACAGAUGAUUCCGAAAUCAUCCCUCUAUUUGAAGGAAAGAUAAAUGCACAGAUCAGAAAAGCUGAUUGAGAGUGAAAUGUAACUUCUAGAAGGUUCUUUUUUAAUGUUUAUAACUAAUUAAUGCUGGUGAAUUUGCGAACCAAAGUGCAUCAUCAACUUGCUGUGGAAGUUUGAUGAUGAUUUUGUAUAGUAUGAAAACUAAUAAAAAAAGGAUGCAGCAGUGGUUCUUUAGUGGCCUCCCAGGCUUUGAAAAAAUGAUUGAUUUGGCCAUUGCCUGAGAAGGACCAUCAUAUAGUGUUAGGAUGGGGGGAGUGGUGCUGGAAGCAUGAAGAGACAUCAGUGUAUUUAAAGAUUUGAUGCAAGGAUGUGUGCAGGUCAUUUUUAUUAGUGGUCCUCUGCAUGCAGUCAGAGACUGAGCCGUUUUGGUCCAGUGCUGUUGGAGCCUUAGAGCAGUUAGGCUAAUUUCUUACCUCAUUUUAGAGAUAAAAUAUUAAGGCGAUGAAUGAAGGAUGAAUGUGAAGAUGUGGCCUGCUGUAGAAAGUGGUUGUCAUGGGUCAGUGUUUCAAGUUAGUCACAAUUGCUUGUACUGUACCCUGUUGAAAUAUAUUGAUCAUAGCAGAAGUGUUUCACAGUCAGAAUCCAGAUUCAUUUUGAAAAAUUUUCCACCCUCCCCUUUUUUUAUACAUAUUUAUAUAUAUUCAGAGAAGGGUGGCAUAACACCUUGGUAUGAUCACAUGACAGUCACUUUCUAUGCCCUGUCGAGUGGGAUGAACAUUUUGUGUCACCGGGAGACCCUCCAUAUGUAUGGGCAGCUUUUCUAGAAUGGCAACUAUCAUUGCUGUCUCAGUGAAUUAAAAGUGUAUUUUUUGGGAUGUUUAUUAUUAGUGAAAAUCAAAUUGCUUUAAUUAUUUAUUUUAUAAAAGAAGGAAGUAACUACAUAUUACUAUUGCAAUGCUUUACAUUUUCAAAUAAGAAUACAUAGCUGUUGAAUUCCAAUUUUUUGAAAAUCUUCAAGAUAUAGGUGAUACUGAUUUGGAUAAUUUUUUUAAGGUAUGUCAAAUUGUCAAUGAAAUGGACUUUGGUAUAGUGAAGUAUAUAACAAAUUUAUACUGUUUACUCUUUGUGUCUCCUAGAGGAUUUUAUUAAGUGUAACACAAAAGCUGUUGCUGUACUGCACAAAGUAUUUCUUACCUGAUUUUUCCACCUUUUUCUCUUACCUUCAAUCAGAACACUAUUUAUUUAGAGUACAAUAAAGUGGAUAUAUUAAAUUUAUGGUUCUGGGGAUCUUUUGAUAAAAAUCAAGUGCAGGUUUCCUUGUUAUUAUGUUGAAAUCUUGGUGCAUUGUCUUAACCCUUUCCAGUGAUACAGUGCUGCUUGUUUUAAUAACUUCUUUUCUGCAAAUGAUACUUGAUACUGACACAGGAGAGAUACCUGGUCAUGUACUGUAUUACCACAGGAUGCUUGAAUUUGAUUUGUAAUAAGCUUCUUAGGCAUCACCACAGUUGUGAAUGUGCCGUAAGAUAGUACCGGGGUACAUCAAAAAGCACUUUGAACUAUUUUAUUCUCCAUGUAAAAAGUGAUCAAAAGUGCCUUGAAAUAUUUGAAGUGGAAUUUUAAGACUGGGAAAAGAAUUUAAUUUAAGAGAUCACAUAGUAUUUAUAUUUGGUUCUCUUCCGUCAUGAAGUUUUAAGUAAAAUUAAGAGUUAAUACUUUUUAACAACACGUUUUGCUCUAAAUUUCAACCCUAAUCUAUCUCUUCUCCUUUGUUUUGUUACAGGUAUAUAAAUCACCUGUACCCCACAGUUACACUUUGUCAGUACAUUCUUAGAUUGAAUACGUACCACUGUGAUGGGUUAAUGAAGUGCUGAGCAGCUGAUGUUACACCUAGAAUCUGGAUUGGAAUUAACAGAGGGGCUCUUUUUGAGAUUUUUUUUUUUUUAUCAUGAGUAAUGAUGGUAAUGUCCAUAGAUAAGAAAUAGAAAAAAAUCAAAAGGUUCUACUGUUUAUGGAGACCCUCUAUUUAUAGAUAUAUAUUAAACCAACCAGCCAUUCUUAACUAGUCAGAGAGUCAGAUGGUGUGUGUGUGUUGCCAUUGACGUUGAAUAAACAAUGUCACUCAGUUGAGCGAAUUUCCACACCCACCAAUAGGUGGAAGAUCGCUGGAAAUUGUGCCCUGUGAUACGUGUCCUCUCACACACAGCCACAAUCCACAACUUAAUUAUUAUCGUUGGUGCUACUAGUGGGGAGGCAGCCGAGCUUGUAUACUAUUACACAUUUUUCAAAGAAUACUUUCAUUGCAAAACAUGUAAUACAUAUUAACAUACAACACUUGUCCAAGCCUUCUCUUUUUGACAAUUUUUUUAUUUCAAAACAAUACACAUUAACAUUGAUUGCUCGAGAUAUACUUGUUAACUUGAUAUGCAACAAAGCAUUCUCUGUUGAACAACGUACAACAUAAAAGCCCUUGUGUAUAAUUCAUAAGUACCUAAUAGUCUCCUUGUUGUUUACUUGCCAGCAUACACCAAAUUUGAUAUUGUGAUUUUCCAUGGUUAUUGUUUAUUCUUUUUUCACUUGUGUUACAGUGAUCUAUUUAUACUGCUCAAGAAUGUAAUUUUUUUCUCAUUUUGUUACUUUUUUUCUCUUUUGCUGCAGUUAACAUAUAUAAUUUUAAACCUAACAACAUAUCCAAAAUGUUUAUCUCAUCUGUGUACAUAAACAGUAUUUGUAUAUACACAUCUAGUUUACAUACACAUUGCACUGCCAGUAUACAUUGUCUCCGUGGCUAUUCACCAUCUUACGAGAGACUAUAGUGAUGAUUCCCAUUGUUUUGUGCUAUUCAAGUCACCUUCUUGGUGGUUUGUAUCAUUAUUUUUUUUUAUUAUAUCAUCAAUAGCAGUGUACAUUAUUUUCUUGUGUACAAAAUGUUGUGUGGUGUGGCAGGUCAAGCCAGGGUCAUUUUUUACAGAAAAUUUCAUUAUUAUUAUUGUUUCUAGAAUGAUGCUGAUAUGGAUGAGCUUGCAUAGUAAUACCCUAUUAAGGGAAAUACUGGUGCAGGUUCUUUCCUCUUUAUGAAGUGUAUAUUAGACAUGUUCAUAGUGGAACAAGCAUACAGUGACUUCUCAUUCCUACCAUCUGUAAUUUUAUGUAAAUUUUAUUACCAUUUGAGAGUAAGCAAUUUGUAUGAUCAUAGGUGCAUAGUGUAACAUUUCAUGAUAGAGAAAUAUUGUAAAAUUGUCAUGAUAUACUGCUAGUUCUGGUAUUGAUGACUGGGUUUUAUUAUGCAUGGGAUUUUUUAACCAUUGAUGGUGGUUACAUGAGGUUAAUGUGUGCCAUAACUUUGGACAUGAUUAAUAUCAACUUAAUUGUAAAAGCAUUAUUUAAUUAUUUACCCAUUUUGUUAAUGUCUCAGGUAUGUCUUCUCCUUUUAUAGACUCUUUAGAUGUAAUAAUAAUUUUUUUUUUUUGUAUUGUCUGCCAGGGCUGAAAAAUUUUUAUGAAAAUUUGCUAGGGAAUGAGUCUUAUUGUAAUUUUUUUAAUUUCUAUUUUUUUUUCCUUUUUUUUGCCAAUAAAGUAUUCUGAACUCUAUAGACUUGUUAAUAUUUGUAAUAAAAGUUUUAAACUUUAA